UUAAUCUCAACAAUCAUAAUAAUAAUCCUAAUUAAAUCAAUAAAAAGCGAAGAUUGGGAUAUUUAUUGGCGUAAUUAUAAAGGAGAAAUCCCAAAAGAUGCGCCGAAGCGAACUCUGUUUACAUUGGACAAGUUAUUUAAGAAGGAUUUUUAUUCCCCGGAUCAAUUUAUGCAAAAACCAAGAAAUUCGUCUCGGAAUAUUACGGAAAAUUCGAAGUAACUAAAGAUAUAAAAAUCCUUUGUUCUGGAAACUUAGAUAAAGUGAAAUGGAAACAGAUUCAUUUUGAUGAUCUUCUUGAAAACCUCCUAAAUACAACCAUCGAAGGAAAUGAUUUUAAUUAGUAUAUUGGAAAAGUGUUCCAUGAGAAUCAAUGGAGGGUUAAUUUCUGAGUCAAAUUUGAAAUAAAAUUGAGUAAGAAAUGGUGAAUAUGAUUAAAGGUUAACAAGUUUAUUGAAAUGAUUUGAAAUAACCUUGAUGUCCUUGGGUGAAAAAUUUAAUCCAUUUAAUUUGUUAUGGGAAACUGUAUGAAGGAUGAACAAUUAGUCAUCACUAAUUGUGAGGUUAUCUAGAAAGAGCCAAAAGUUAUUGGUAGAGGAAAAGCAACAAGAAAUGUGGUGAAGAGGAGCUUGCUCUAGAAACGUUGAAACUGGGCAUAUUGAGUUCUAAAUAGUACCAAAAAUUGUCUUGGAAAUUAUUUAAUGUAAAUUGAUUUCGUUUUAAUUUCCGUUAUGAAUUAAAGUUUUAAUAAUGUAUGA